rnacentral:rRNA from 1 species
UACGGAGGGUGCGAGCGUUGUCCGGAAUCACUGGGCGUAAAGGGCGCGUAGGCGGCGCGGGCAGUCAACGGUGAAAGCUUGGGGCUCAACCCCGAGUCGGCCGUCGAUACUCCCGGGCUGGAGCGCUGUAGAGGCAGGUGGAAUUCCGGGUGUAGCGGUGGAAUGCGUAGAGAUCAGGAAGAACAUCGGUGGCGAAGGCGCUCUGCUGGACCAUAACUGACACUCAGGGACGAAAGCUAGGGGAGCGAAUGGG